UGAGUAUUCUAUAACUUAACACACAAUUAAUUAGUCAACACAAACAUAACCUCAAAACUUUCAACAACGGAUCUCUUGGUUCUCGCAUCGAUGAAGAACGCAGCGAAAUGCGAUAAGUAAUAUGAAUUGCAGAUUGUGAAUCAUCGAAUCUUUGAACGCACAUUGCACCGUGUGGCAUUCCACACGGUAUGCCUGUUUGAGCGUGGUUUCUCUCUCAGCCCGCGUUCCUUUUUUUAAGGAGCUUGGGCUGGCGGUGAGCGGCACACGAGUGUUUGCUUGAAAGCUAGUACGACUGAUAGUACACUUUACACAAACUCCCCCUCAAAUCAGGUAGGACUACCCGCUGAACUUAAGCAUAUCAAUAAGCGGAGGA
rnacentral:rRNA from 1 species